GCCAGAGUGAUUGCGGAGCUCCUGGCAAUGCACACCUGGAUCCGUAGCCUAAGAACUGGGGCUGUAUAAUUAGAAUAAGGCAGCCAGGCCCAUAACUUUGGGGUUACCAUUUGCCGCGAGUGCCGUGGAGAAUUUACCAUUCAGAAUCAAAAGUUAAGUGAGAACCAUUAUCUUUUUCAGCCCCUCCACCUGAUGACCCACAUUAACAGGGAAGGAGAUGAAGGCAUUCAGAUUUGGUAUGGCAAUCGUCAUUCUACUGACAAGCCAUGGCCCGCUAACAAAAUUUACCAAGAACCACAGUUCUUUGCUGCGACAUUGGCUGGGUUUUGCUGACCACAAUACCAUUUGAACUGGAAAUGUUGUUGCGAGAAGAAUCCGUCUUGGGAUACAAGCCUAAUAGCUAGAUCAGAGAGCAUGGUUCCCACGAAGGCUGUCCAAGGGAGAUUCAGCAACCUACUUGAUCAGCAUGGUUUCAAGAUCAUUGGGGUCACAAGAGUUUUCAGUUUGAAUAGAUAUGAACUUUGUCCCCGAGGUUGUCCAAGAGAGACUGCACCACACAGUAAAAGGAAAGGUGGUUUAGUGACAAGUACAGUUACCCUCUGCUCAGCCAACACCUCAUGAACUAGACUGAAAAAUAGCACAGGUGAUCAAGACUGAUACCGCACAAUCGUCCUCCUGGUUAACAAGCCAAGACCAAUCCAGAUGGGGAGGGUUGGCCCUCCAACACCACUACCAAUGCUCUCAGCUGGGAUCAGUGGACUGCAGCAAUAUCUUACUGAAGACAAAGAUGAGGGAAUCUACAAUGUUGAUGCAAGAUUGCCCUGUGAUGUCAAGGCGUCUUUGACUACAACGCUUUGGUUCACCAGUCGGUCCUCGAAUGGUAAAGUUUGGACACAACAUCCUGAACAUGAAGAAUAUUCCGAAAGACAACACAAACAAUAUUUGGACAUUCAAUUUUUCAGCUGAGAUUAGGACCUUUUUUCAAGUUAGGACUAAAGCCCCUGGGCCUGCUUUAGGCCUAUAACUGUAGUUUGUGCUCUGUAGUAUGUGAUUUGAAAAGAUUGGAGUAAGGAUUGUACAAUGGAACAAGUGUCAUUUUGUUUGCCACAGUAACUUAAGGCAGUGUUAGUGACCCAUUUGUUUUCAGUUUACAAAGCCAUCAUGAUCAACUGCAUUGAUCCCUCAAAAGAUUGUUGGAGUGACUCCAUUAAAUGUAACAAAAAUAUCCAACACCUGGUAUUCUAGUUACUGUAGGUUAGCUACUGAAGUGACCUUUUUGUUUUCACUUUUAAAAACCUAUGCGAUUAUCCGCACUGAAGGUCCCUCCAGAGAUUGUUGGACUGGGUCCAUUAAAUGUGACAAAAAUAUCCAACACCUAUUUACAAAUGAAGUGAGGGGGUCAGCCUUUUGGUGUAACUCCAUAUAACUGUCUGGUGAUUUCGCUCUGGGCUUGUGACAUUCUGAUCGGUCUGAAAUAGUCAUUGUCGCCCAUCCCUCAAUUUGAGGCCUGUGUCCCGAUGGUGGCGUUGAAUGGCAAAAUCAAAGGGGCAUGACGGCGGUUAAACCUAUUGCGAAUGGGCAGCAUCACAACCAGUUCUGAGAUCUGGGGGUGGUGUAGGAUAUCUGGUUACCACGCACACAUCUCUUGAAUUUGCGGUGGGUUGGUACCCCACGCUACGUAAGGGGAGGUUCUGGGUAAGACUUGGUCCACGUGAAUAGGUUGUACCUGAAAGAUGAGAAGUUGCGAAUGGACGCCUUAGAAUAUGUCCUUCGACCAGCUAGUGCUAACCCGGUCACUGUCUCCAGGUCACCACACCUUGGUCAAUGAGCGGGCGAAGAACCCAAUGGCUCCGUCAGGAGUACAUCGUCAACUUCAGCCCGUAGUCAAACCGGUACACGUACAAAUAUCUUAGCUGAGAGUGGGGGACGUACUUGCUUCUCAUCGGGGUAAUACAGUACCACUGUAUACAAUGACCCCAUUUUAGUUGGAUUUUAUUGAGGAGUGGACGAUAAUGAGAAUUUCAGGCCAGUCCGAUUGUCACCAGUUCAGAGGGCGAUUACCUGAUAGUUAUGUGGCAUUCCGUCAAACGGUGAACUCUUUCACAUCCUUCGUAAAUUAGCGUUGCUUGUUACAUGUCACAUCCAAUGG